AGCCUCGUCAGGCUCAGUCCCCUCCCGGUAAAUCCCUAAAUAGGGACCUUCCUGGGGGGCGACCCUGGCUUUUUUGGCG
rnacentral:pre_miRNA from 1 species